GCCCGGUUAGCUCAGCCGGUAGAGCGUUGGACUUUUAAUCCAAUGGUCAAAGGUUCAAGUCCCUUAUCGGGCU
rnacentral:tRNA from 1 species